CUGGUAUAUAAACCUUGGGAGGGAUAUGUGAAGGACAGAGCUGGUCAAGGAUAAGACCUCGUGUGCAGGACAAGAGAAUUAGUUCGUGAGGUUCAAUCAGCAUGAGGCAGUACUCUCUCGCCGUAAUCAUUGCACUCGCCCUCAUGGUGAUGCUGGUGUCAGUCCAGGCUUUUCCAUGGCCUGUUCCUGACCCCUUAGCUGACCCUGCUGCUGACCCUGACCCCGAGGCUAACCCUGACCCCUUCUUCGGCUUCUGGCGACGUAGAUGGGGGUGGGGCGGACGGGGCUGGAGGAGAAGGUGUUGUUGGGGUUAAGGAAAAGGGGAAAAAAUUUGAAGUGUUUUUGCAAGAGAUUCUAAAGACGAUGUUGCACAGAGAGAGUCUUUUGUUUCUCCUGUUAGACGUUAUAGUUAAUAAAUGAUAGUAUGGUUAAGUGAU